UUCCUCCGCGUCAGCAGCAAGUUACCUGUUCUUCGCGCGUCGCCCCAUAAAACCACACUUCCCAGAAGGCUGCGCGUUCACGCGCGCUUUGGGGGCCCCGCGAGAAAGCCGAAGCAUGCCACCGUCUGUACCCUUUGCUGCGGAGCUGCUCCGCUAGGACGCGCGCACCGAGUGUGGAGAGGACAGCGUGACGGCCCUCUGCGUGCUUCUUAAGUACAGUGGCGCGCGAAGCACAAAACUCCCCUUCCCAGAAAAUGAUGCGGCCGUGGAAAGUCCUCCCGUUCGCGGUUCGGCCCGCGCGACCGCCCUCCUGCCCGGAGGUGGGCAGCCUUGCUGGUGCCUGCGGAGAGCUGCGGUCUACAGUGGAAGGUCUCAAGUGAAAUCCUGGGCUGCUCUGGCCCGCUCGGGUGGGUUCUGAGUGUCUGGCGCCGGCUUGCCCAGGUCCUCGAAGGACUCAGAAACGGCGGCCUCUUUAAGCGCUUUAAGGAAAAAGGCCUUCAGUCCUGGAACCCAUAGAGCCUGACCCACUACUGUCCCCAGAAUCGCUGUCCUUGACCACCACCCCCAAGGCCCGCUGGUGGUAGACAUCCUAUUUGUUAGAGAGAGUACAAGUAGGGAGAGCGGCAGGCAGAAGGAGAAGCAGGCUCGCCACUGAGCAAGGAGCCCCAUGCGCUCCAUCCAGGGACGCUGGGAUCAAGAGCCGAAAGCAGAUGCUUAACCCACUGAGCUUCCCAGGCGCCCGUGUUCAUUUCAUUUUAAUUAUGUUUAUUUUUAAAUUGUAGUGUGACUAUGAAUUUUCUUGUAUAUGUCAAGUACUUAAGUGCAUAAAAUUCAUUCGACAAUGCUUCCAGCUUGGUAUAUAUCUUGUGGCUGUGGUAUUUAAUUCCUGUAGCAAGAGUAGUUGGUAAAAACCCUGGCAUCAACUAGAUACUCCUCAAGGCUUACAGAAGGUAACAAGAUUUGCCAGUGCAAAGUAUUUUCCCCUCCCUGUCUUCAUUAUACAAUGACAAAUUGUUUUCCAAAAUUGUACCAAUUUGCACUCUUGCCAUGGUUUUGUUUUUGUUUUUGUUUUUUUUUAAGAUUUUAUUUAUUUGGGGCGCCUGGGUG